GCCUUCGUGGUGUAGUGGUCAGCACGCUCGAUGCGUAAGCGAGAGGUCCGUGGUUCGAUUCCCGGCGAAGGCG
rfam:Stegodyphus mimosarum contig18023, whole genome shotgun sequence.